CUUCUUCAAUUUGCUGAGGACAAAUGAAGUGAACAUGACUAUCCAUACCUCCGAAAGUAACGAUUUUAUUCUCAGCAGAAAUAACAUCGGUAGACGAGCCCACAACCAUGUUAUCUGUGAUACUGUCCAUAGUAUCAGGAUUACCGGAUUUACCGAUACCCACAAUGAAGCCGUUUUUGAUACCAAUAUCAGCCUUGAAGAUACCAGUAUAAUCAACAAUUAAGGCGUUAGUUAUGACUGUGUCGAGAGAUUCAUUCAUCGAUCUUCCAGUCGCUUGUCCGGUUCCAUCACG